ACAAGAUAAUUAAAGAAAGAAAAAAAAGAAUAGUAGGAAAUCUUAAUUAAUUUAAUCCUAUUUUUGUGCUAGAGAAUUAGCCGGAAUGUGAGAUCAGGAACUAGGCAAGAAAAGAACAAUAGCAUGUUUAUGCAAUGCUGGUUAUUGCUGCUUGUUUUGACAAAAGUGCUGAACAGUUGCAAGGAACCAGAAACUGCUACAGCAUGUGAUGAUCAGUAAGGAAGUGUAGACACGUGCUAGUGAAGAAGGAAACAUUUUAAGUUCCUUUGGGUCUGAGAACAAUUUAUUAUCCAUGGAGAACUAUGGUUCUGAGAAUUCUUUCAUUGAUAAAUCCACUCAAUAGAUUCUUCAUGGUCAACUUUAAGCCAGUC